rnacentral:rRNA from 1 species
AAUCUUCCAGAGCUGAGCGCAUUUGUUCGCCACAAAACCAAGCGCCUUCGGGCGUCCAGUGUUGACUCAGAACAACUAAGCUGAUCGCACGGUCUUGUACCGGCGACGUGUCUUUCAAGUGUCUGCCUUAUCAACUUUCGAUGGUAGGUACCUGACUACCAUGGUUAUGACGGGUAACGGAGGAUAAGGGUUCGACUCCGGAGAAGGGGCCUGAGAAAUGGCCACUACGUCUAAGGAUGGCAGCAGGCGCGCAAAUUACCCACUCUCAACAUGAGGAGGUAGUGACGAGAAAUAACGAGACCGAUCUCUUAUGAGGCCGGUCAUCGGAAUGGGUACAAUUUAAACCCUUUAACGAGUAUCUAUGAGAGGGCAAGUCUGGUGCCAGCAGCCGCGGUAAUUCCAGCUCUCAAAAUGCAUAGAAUUAUUGCUGCGGUUAAAAAGCUCGUAGUUGGAUCUGUGCUAGCCGGGCGGUCCACCCACUGGGUGUGCACUGGUUCGGUUGGCUUUUCUGCCGGUCUCUCCCCGGCGUUGGCCUUCACUGGUCGGCGUCGGUGGGCUGGCGAGUUUACUUUGAACAAAGCAGAGUGCUUAACACAGGCGUUUCGCUUGAAUGUUCGUGCAUGGAAUAAUAGAAGAGGAUUUCGGUCCGAUUUUAUUGGUUUUGCUGACCGAGAUAAUGGUUAACAGAGACAAACGGGGCCAUUCGUAUUGCUACGUGAGAGGUGAAAUUCUUGGACCGUAG